UGGACAUUCUAUUGAUUCAAAAAUUGUUUAUAGGCAUCGCAUUUUUUUUAAUAGGUUAAAUUAUUGUAUAAUUCACCGUUUGUAUUAAACACUGCAUGGUAGUAAGGAGUGUAUAAGUUACAAAAAUUGUUAGGGAAUCUACAGUAUAGAAUUUAGAUAACUAAUAUGCUUUUCCUAUUUUGUCUACACGCGAGUAUAAUGAUGGAAAAAUAGUGCACAAUAUAUGUCCUAUAAUAUAUAAUUCAAUAGCCAUUUACCCUCGCCUUUUAUACCAUGCCCAUUGAAUGCAAAGGCAGCAUUGAAUGACAGCAGAUAUAAUAGAAAAAUACUUUCCUAUAAAACCUUAUAACGGUAUAAAGUUUCUCUACACUUUGUCAGGGUCAGAGAUAUAUUAUACAUAAUUCAUAUUAAAGUCCCACACAGACACACCAUUACUCGAUAAGUUUUUAUAAGCAUUUUAAAGUUUCUAUUGAUACAUCGGCUAUUUGUCUCUAGCAUAGUUGGAUGAAAACUUCUAAAAUAUGAUGAAGAUUGCCGUAUUGAUAUAAAUAUUGAUUAACACAGCAGCAUGAUACAGGUCGAAAAAAGCAGGAUUAUUCCGCUAUAAAAGGCCAAUUGCAAUGCCAAAUAUAAAAGUCUUUAUAAGAUUUAUAAUGUGCCUGCUGAGAUUGCUGCACGUCAAACAUGAUAUGAUAUAAUAUACUAUAAAAUAAAAUACUUGUGUCUGAUGUUUAACUGUAUGUAUCGUAUUAUAUAUUAUCGUUGUACCGCAUAGCACGCACGGAGAAGUCUUGGCGUAAACGAAUGGCGUUCAUAAGAUAACCAAUAGAGUUCACUGGUGAAAACAGAUAGCUAUACUUCGAAGUAAUUCUUGCUCGUUGAGUUUCAGCAAUGCCCAGAGAACAAUGUAGUCCAUAUAAAGAACGCGGGUUUUUAAUUCUGUGCUAUCACAAGUCAAGAUACAGUAGCAUUGUUUACAAACAGUUGGCGAUGUUUCGGAAACCAAAAGAUCACGUAAUAAAAAAAUCCGUUUGAAUAUCGGACAGGAUACACGGCCAGAUCGUUCGUUUGAUCGGUGUGGAAGAUAUUAAAGUAGCUUCUACGAUGAAGCGUGUUCAACUUCGCAAGCUGUAGGUAGCGUGUGGCGUUCUUUCC